GUGCCACCGCGGUAAUACGUAGGGGGCGAGCGUUGUCCGGAUUUAUUGGGCGUAAAGAGCGUGUAGGCUGUUCGGUAAGUCUGCCGUGAAAACCUGCAGCUUAACUGUGGCGUGCGGUCGAUACGGGCAUCACUGGAGUUCGGCAGGGGAGACUGGAAUUCCUGGUGUAGCGGUGAAAUGCGCAGAUAUCAGGAGGAACACCGGUGGCGAAGGCGGGUCUCUGGGCCGAUACUGACGCUGAGGAGCGAAAGCGUGGGGAGCAAACAGG
rnacentral:rRNA from 1 species